UGGGGCAUUUUCCGCAAUGGGCGAAAGCCUGACGGAGCAAUACCGCGUGAGGGAGGAAGGCCUUUGGGUUGUAAACCUCUUUUCUCAGGGAAGAAGAAAGUGACGGUACCUGAGGAAUCAGCAUCGGCUAACUCCGUGCCAGCAGCCGCGGUAAUACGGAGGAUGCAAGCGUUAUCCGGAAUUAUUGGGCGUAAAGCGUCCGCAGGUGGCUCACCAAGUCUGCUGUCAAAGAGCGAAGCUUAACUUCGCAAAGGCAGUGGAAACUGGCGAGCUAGAGUAUGGUAGGGGUAGAGGGAAUUCCCAGUGUAGCGGUGAAAUGCGUAGAGAUUGGGAAGAACAUCGGUGGCGAAAGCGCUCUACUGGGCCAUAACUGACACUCAGGGACGAAAGCUAAGGUAGCGAAUGGGAUUAGAUACCCCGGUAGUCC
rnacentral:rRNA from 1 species